GACGAACGCUGGCGGCGUGCUUAACACAUGCAAGUCGAACAAUGAACCCGGAGCUUGCUCCGGCGGAUUAGUGGCGAACGGGUGAGUAACACGUGAGUAACCUGCCCUUGACUCUGGGAUAACUGCUAGAAAUGGUAGCUAAUACCGGAUACGACCCUCGGUGGCAUCACCAGGGGCUGGAAAGAAUUUCGGUCAAGGAUGGACUCGCGGCCUAUCAGCUAGUUGGGGAGGUAACGGCUCACCAAGGCGACGACGGGUAGCCGGCCUGAGAGGGUGACCGGCCACACUGGGACUGAGACACGGCCCAGACUCCUACGGGAGGCAGCAGUGGGGAAUAUUGCACAAUGGGCGCAAGCCUGAUGCAGCAACGCCGCGUGAGGGAUGACGGCCUUCGGGUCGUAAACCUCUUUUAGUAGGGAAUAAGCGAAAGUGACGGUACCUGCAGAAAAAGCACCGGCUAACUACGUGCCAGCAGCCGCGGUAA
rnacentral:rRNA from 1 species